UGGCUGCAGAGCGGCCGGCUGGGAUCUUAGAUAGGAGGGGUGGAUUUGCAAGGCCUAGAAUAGCUGGGGAGUGGUUUCCCCGCGGAAUCGGCCUCCCUGCCGCUCCUGCUUUGUACUGUGACGCUCAGCCUGUGAUGACUGGUGUGGAAUCCGCUGAGCCACCUUGGCCUAAGGAGACUUUACCACUCUGAGAUUGUAAAUCUGUAAAAUAGAGAUGUAGGAUUAGCCCAUACGGUAGUUGUGGUAAAUACUGUGAGACAAUAAGGGGCCUGGGACACAGCAUUCAAAUGGGAAUAAUGAAGGUCAAGACUGUGAUUCCUGUAUCUUUGACGCUCUCGGUAUAAGCACCGUCGUGGGCACAGGGCAGUGGCCUUUAUGCAGGAGUUUAAGAGGGAAUGAAGGAAUGAAUGGGCAAACUCUGGAGUUCCCAAGUAUUCUCUCCAGGAGCUGUUUCCAUUCUUUUCGUUUCCAGCAGGUUCAAGAGGCAAUUGUUGGAAUGUAAAAAGAGCACGGGACUUGGAGUCAAAUACUUAAGUCUACCAUCAAGUAGUUGUUAAGAAUUAAACAACAAUUUUUGUGUACCCAGUUAAAUGUGGGCUGCUUAGGAAUGAUGACUGUGUCUUAAUGAUCUCUGUAUUCUUAGUGACAUGUAGAAUCAUUGUGCCUGACACAUAGUAUGUACUCAGGAAAGAAAUGGAAAAUGUGGUUUUAGCAUUGAAGGCCGGGAGAGAGGGUCUAACAGACUACAAGCCCUGCCAGGAGCAGAGUAAGGGAAACAGAGGAGAAAAGUGUUUUUAGUCUGUGCCUGAAUGUAUUUACAUCUGUUUGUAGCCCAAAAGCCAAAAGCAUACAUACGCUUGGCUUUUCUGUAGCUAUGUUUAUGGCUUUACAGCAGAUUUUAUGGAGCUGCAAUUACUUUGAUCAUGAGGGACUGAUGCUAGUGGAUUUACUUCACCAAAUGGAACUCACUUUGUGGCUUCUGAAGAAGGGACCUUUGUGGACUGUCAUGGAGUAGUUAAGAGUGCAGGCUCUGAUUUAGUGAUCAGAGUCUGCAUUGUCAGGAAUGGGACAAAGUGAAGUUAUGUGGCACUUGAUAGGAUGCCCUGAGAAGAUUGCAACAUCACCCCUGUGAUAUUCCUGCUGAAGAUCCAUAACCUGGAUGUAAUCAUGAGGAUAUAUCAGACAAACCCACGUAAAGAGACAUGCUGUAUACAAAACUGUAAUCUUAGAAAGUGCCAAGGUCAUGAAAAUCAAAGAUAGACCCUGGAACUGUUCCAAACUGGAGGGGACCAAAGAGGCAUGACAACUAAACACAACACAUGAUUCUGAACUGGAUCUUUUUGCUUGAAAGGAAGUUACAGGGACAGUUGGAAAAGUUUAAAUGGGGCCUACAAUGCCGUGGUAAUGAUGUGUCCGUGUUAAUU
rnacentral:lncRNA from 10 species